rnacentral:rRNA from 1 species
AAGCGCUUGCAGCCAGACUUGCCUGUAGUUGCUCAUCCGGGCUUUUGCCCGGUGCACUCUUCUGUAGGCAGGCCAGCAUCAGUUUGGGCGGUUGGAUAAAGGCCCUAGGAAUGUGGCUCCUCUCGGGGAGUGUUAUAGCCUAGGGUGCAAUGCAGCCUGCUGGGACCGAGGACCGCGCUUCGGCUAGGAUGCUGGCGUAAUGGUUGUAAGCGG